CCUACGGGAGGCAGCAGCAAGGAAUAUUGUGCAAUGGGGGAAAGCCUGACACAGCGACGCCGCGUGGGGGAAGAAGGCCUUCGGGUUGUAAACCCCUUUCUCAGGAAGAUAAUGACGGUACCUGAGGAAUAAGUCUCGGCUAACUACGUGCCAGCAGCCGCGGUAAU
rnacentral:rRNA from 1 species